AAGGACAGGGAGGAGGACACACGCCGCGGCGGCGACGCGUGUCCGGUGUAGAGGAGCGGGAGGAGGUGUAGAGGCCGGUUUCGCGAGUGAAGAGGCCGGAAGGAGGUGUAGAGGAGCGGAGGUGGGGUAGGUGAAGGACAGGUUCUGACACCGUUGCCUCGAGCCGCCAACGCCGGGAAGAGGUUCUGACGUCGCACCACGAGCCGCCGACGCCGUUGCCUCGACUACCUCGCGCUCGGCUGGUCAAGUUGCCUCCGCCAUCGUGCCCCGUCGCCGUCGUCGUACCUCCCGCAGGCGAACUGACCUUUCUCUUUCAUAAACAACUAUCACUCUCACUCCUAUUACUACCCCACUCACUCCUACCCCUUCUACGAGGUAGGUACGUACUAGUCGUUCUCCGCGUUUACGUUCACCUUUUUCUCUGUGUUUAAGUUCACCUUUUCCUGCGUGGUGGUUGUCUACCGUUAAACCUCUGGGCAUCUAGACAUGCCGAACACUUCUUCUUCUGGUUCCCGCAGUUGUCGGAUAUGGGCGACGAAUCUUUAGACGACCGUUCAUAGAAGAAAGAUCACAAAAUACUAAGUACUAUUAACGAAUCUUUUAAAAUCAAUGAACCUCGACGAUCAAAGAAUCUACAUAUUUGAAAGAUAGGUACGGAUCGGAAGCAACAGUACAAUUCGUUACAUAAAUACAACAGGACUUUACAAUGGUGAACUGAUAACAACGUGAUCUGUGGAGGGACAAUCAGGUAAAAUAAAGUAAUACGUGUUUCACCUUCUUCUUUUAAGACUACAACUUGAUGUAGAUAGGACUAGGAAAGAAACAAAAGAGAUAUACUUGAUCUUUACGGUGUACUUCUUGAUUCCUAUAGUUCUUCGAAAACCUACAUACGUUCGAACCUCGACGACAAAUAUCUUUACUGUGAACUUCUUAUUGGUUCCUAUAGUUCUUCGAAAACCUACAUCCGUUCGAACCUCGACGACAAAGUUACAGUACGAAACUAUCAACAGAAAACCUCGACAACAAAGAUACACAUUAUGAAAUUCAGACAACCGACAUGGCCUGAUAAAUUUGAGACUUGAUACGACACUACCAACUUGACUACAACCUGACAAUUCCCAAUACAACCUCCGGUGAAAUAUUGAUUACACACGUACAAUACAACCUGUCUACGUCAAAAUAAUUAA
rnacentral:rRNA from 1 species